rnacentral:rRNA from 1 species
AUUGAACGCUGGCGGCAGGCUUAACACAUGCAAGUCGAGCGGAGAGAGGUAGCUUGCUACUGAUCUUAGCGGCGGACGGGUGAGUAAUGCUUAGGAAUCUGCCUAUUAGUGGGGGACAACAUUUCGAAAGGAAUGCUAAUACCGCAUACGUCCUACGGGAGAAAGCAGGGGAUCUUCGGACCUUGCGCUAAUAGAUGAGCCUAAGUCGGAUUAGCUAGUUGGUGGGGUAAAGGCCUACCAAGGCGACGAUCUGUAGCGGGUCUGAGAGGAUGAUCCGCCACACUGGGACUGAGACACGGCCCAGACUCCUACGGGAGGCAGCAGUGGGGAAUAUUGGACAAUGGGGGAAACCCUGAUCCAGCCAUGCCGCGUGUGUGAAGAAGGCCUUAUGGUUGUAAAGCACUUUAAGCGAGGAGGAGGCUACUGAGACUAAUACUCUUGGAUAGUGGACGUUACUCGCAGAAUAAGCACCGGCUAACUCUGUGCCAGCCGCCGCUGUAA